GUGAUUCUCUCAUUAUUUCAGGCAUAUUUUAUAUAUAUAUAUAUAUAUAUGUAAUGAGGUGGAGCUGGAGGGUGCGAUCUGGUUGGGGCAUGGUAAUUUCAUUAACCUGGCUGCAACAAUUAAGCAAUCAGCACGCGUAUAUAGGACCCGGUUGUGGUUGCGUGUGUGACUGAUUUGCAAGCGUGACGUGACUCUCCGUGCGCUAGUAUCUCCUUUUCCGGAAGUUGUGGCUAUAUCCAACGCUGCAGUUGCAAGGGCUUGGUAAAUCUAGCAGCUUGCGGUUGCUUCCGCUUUUAAGGUUUUCCAACUUUUACCGCGUGUAAUCUGCCAGUGGAUCGCGACUUGGAGUGUCCCGGACCGACGUGAGCCAGACCAUCAGCGGGAUACUAAGUCACUACAAGUGCUGCUGUUUUGCCCGGAGGUUUUAUGUUUUGUUUCAUGUUUUAAUGGGUUUUAAGUAUUAAUGUUUUAUUGAUUGGAUGUACAUUGGGGGGGUGUCGUUGGGAAGGCUUGGUGCUGGGCGGUGAGGAUCCGUGUCGGGCGAUACCGCGCUGCGUGGUCGCGUUGCUUUCUUGUAGCCCACCCCUUGGGUGGAUGUACGUGCGUCAUGUACUGCGGGACCCCUUAGAGUGUUGUCUGACUGUAUGCCUCCCAUUCCCCUCCCGAUAACAGCUGCCUGGUUUGAGUUUUCUCUUUUGUCGUGUGAUUAGAGUGUUUUAAACAUGAUUUGAUGUGUAUUAUUUGUGCUGUGAUUUUGGUUUUGUAAUUUGCUGUUUGGUUUCUUUGUGUUUUUAUUUUGCGUGUUAAUAGCCAGCAGCCUAAUAAAGGGAGUGUUUAUGGUC